GACGAACGCUGGCGGCGUGCUUAACACAUGCAAGUCGAACGGAAAGGCCCUGCUUUUGUGGGGUGCUCGAGUGGCGAACGGGUGCGUAACACGUGAGUAACCUGCCCUUGACUUUGGGAUAACUUCAGGAAACUGGGGCUAAUACCGGAUAGGAGCUCCUGCUGCAUGGUGGGGGUUGGAAAGUUUCGGCGGGUGGGGAUGGACUCGCGGCUUAUCGGCUUGUUGGUGGGGUAGGGGCUUACCAAGGCUUUGGCGGGUAGCCGGCCUGAGAGGGUGGCCGGCCUCAUUGGGACUGCGAGACGGCCCAGACUCCUACGUGAGGCAGCAGUGGGGAAUAUUGCACAAUGGGCGGACGCCUGAUGCAGCAACGCCGCGUGCGGGAUGACGGCCUGCGGGUUGUAAACCGCUUUCGCCUGUGACGAAGCGUGAGUGACGGUAAUGGGUAAAGAAGCACCGGCUAACUACGUG
rnacentral:rRNA from 1 species